rnacentral:rRNA from 1 species
UACGUAGGGGGCGAGCGUUGUCCGGAUUUAUUGGGCGUAAAGAGCUCGUAGGCGGUUCGAUAAGUCGGACGUGAAAUCUCCACGCUCAACGUGGAGGGGCCGUUCGAUACUGUCGUGACUCGAGUCCGGUAGGGGAGUGUGGAAUUCCCGGUGUAGCGGUGAAAUGCGCAGAGAUCGGGAGGAACAUCUGUGGCGAAGGCGACACCCUGGACCAGCACUGACACUGAGGCACGAAAGCGUGGGGAGCAAACAGG